AGUGGAACUGCUGGGUCAUAUGGUAAUUCUGCAUUUAACUUUUUGAGGAACUGCCAAACUGUUUUUCACAGCAGCUGAACCAUUUUAUCUUCCCACCAGCAGU
rnacentral:pre_miRNA from 1 species